UACGUAGGGGGCAAGCGUUGUCCGGAAUCAUUGGGCGUAAAGAGCGUGUAGGCGGUCCGUUAAGUCGGCUGUGAAAGUCCAAGGCUCAACCUUUGGAUGCCGGUCGAUACUGCCGGACUAGAGUUCGGAAGAGGCGAGUGGAAUUCCCGGUGUAGCGGUGAAAUGCGCAGAUAUCGGGAGGAACACCGGUGGCGAAGGCGGUUCUCUGGGCCUUACCUGACGCUGAGGAGCGAAAGCGUGGGGAGCGAACAGG
rnacentral:rRNA from 1 species